CACUUACCCCUUUCUCCUAACCCUAAACCCAAAAAACCACAAAGACUGACGCACUAACUGCUCAGAAAAAGUAGAACCUCUCACACUUCGGGGUGAUUAAAUUUUACCUCUGGCCCCGGAGGAUUGGUAGAGAGAUUCGACUUAAUCACCAAGCCGGGGCUGCAAAAAAGCCAGCUUACCAGGGCACCUCACUCAAGUACAUCUGGGAAGUAGGGGUCUUUAAUUUACAUUACAGAUCGUCAGAAGCAAGGAUAAGAUAAAUCAGAUCAUUUGGGGGCUGAAAAAAACGACGGUCGAAUAUUUAAUCUGCGAAACUUGGCAGUGGAUUUGAAUAAACCCACAGUCGGGGAAGUUAGUUAAAUUGGUUUGGGAAAGGGAACAGCAGAAAUUCCGUAGUGGCAGCUGACGGCCACAAGACGCUAUUUUACAUGAGUAAAAAUGCUUGCUAUAAGGUGCCCGGUUGCAGGCGACCGAAGGCGCAGUGAUGGAGAACUGACGCGGGUGACUUGUCUUCUUCAACAUCACACACUUCUCCCGAUGGCUGAUGUAGUGCUCCCCUGGGAGCACCCUCUGCUAGUCCGGCCAGACGGUUCCUUAAGGUGUCAGGAGGGCCCGAACCUGAGUGCGGUCUCUCCGCAUCUCCGCGCCCGGGGUUAACGAUGGCUUGGGAGUGUGGGCAUUGCUCCCGAGGCCAGGGGCAGGAGGACUGGUGGUUUAGAAGCAGAGACAGCAAGAGACCCACCCCCAGGCCCCUGGCAGCGCAGUGGAUCCGGGAUCGCUGGAGACGCGGUGCACACACAAAUCAGGUUCAGAUCUGU
rnacentral:lncRNA from 1 species